GCCGCGGCAAUAGCUCAGUGAGUAAAACGCCAGGUGGGAGUUACUGACUACUCUGGAAGAGUUAUAAUCCGUACGGGUUCGAAUCCCGUCUGUGGCA